CCUACGGGGGGCAGCAGUAGGGAAUAUUGCUCAAUGGGGGGAACCCUGAAGCAGCAACGCCGCGUGGAGGAUGAAGGUUUUCGGAUUGUAAACUCCUUUUGUUAGAGAAGAUAAUGACGGUAUCUAACGGAUAAGCACCGGCUAACUCCGUGCCAGCAGCCGAGGUAACACGGAGGGUGAAAGCGUUACUCGGAAUCAAUGGGCGUAAAGAUCGCGGAGGCGGGAUAGCAAGUCAGAUGUGAAAUCCUAUGGCUUAACCAUAGAACUGCAUUUGAAACUGGUAUUCUAGAGGAUGGGAGAGGUAGGUGGAAUUCUAGGUGUAGGGGUAAAAUCCGUAGAGAUCGAGAGGAAUACGCAUUGCGAAGGCGACCUGCUAGAACAUAACUGACGCUGAUGCGCGAAAGCGUGGGGAGCAAACAGGAUUAGAUACCCGGGUAGUC
rnacentral:rRNA from 1 species